ensembl:lncRNA LINC01270 long intergenic non-protein coding RNA 1270
AUGACACAGCACUUUUGGGCACAAGGCAGGGCCCAGAGGGGUGCGUGGGGGCCGCAGCCCAGCCCCCAAGCCCCGCCAGCGGCCGACAAGGGAGGUGCCAUGUGGACUGUUUCACAGCUGGAGAAACUGAGGCACAGAGGGGCUGAGUCACCUGCCUAACGCACUGAGCAGUCUGGCUCCAGGACCUGUGCUCUGAACCAGCACCUGGCACAUAGCUGGCACCGACAUGGUCUCCGUGCACUGCCAUGGAUGAGAGCAAUGCUGGCUGCGGUGUCGGGCGGAGCUGGGUUCCAAUGCUGACUUCACCUUUCUCAGGCUGCACAGCCUGGAGCACGUGGCUGCACCCUACCGUGCGUCAGUUUCCUCACCUGUGAAGGGUGAUCGUGGUGGUCCUGAUCUUGCAGAACUGCAGUGAGGGCUGUGAGUGUGGGGUGUCUCAACUGCACCUGGACACGCAGAAGGCACUCUGUGAACACUGACUUUCAUUGGCCCAGGCCUCUGAAUCCAUGACAGUUCAAUCUCUGAACCCCACAGCUUCCUCCUUCACCCUUUGCCGCCCCAGGGCAAGCUUUACUGGGGUGUAACAAACACACGAUAAACUGCGCAUAUUCCAGUGUUCAUGUGGAUGAGUUUGGACAUAUGCACACACUUCCGAAACCACCAGCACAAUCAAGACAGCAGACAUAUCCAUCGCCCCCAAGGGUGUCCUUGUGUCUUUUUGUCAUUCAUCCCUCCCGGCCGCCCCAUCCACACUCCCAUCGCCUGCCGACUGUGGCUGAUCUGCUUUCUGCGGCUGUGGAUUAGUUUGCGUUCUCUACAAUUUUCUGUAAGUGGAAUCAUGUGGUGUAUUCUUUACUGGGCUUCUUUUCCUCAACAUUAUGAUUU